rnacentral:rRNA from 1 species
AGAGUUUGAUCAUGGCUCAGAUUGAACGCUGGCGGCAGGCCUAACACAUGCAAGUCGAGCGGUAGCACAGGAGAGCUUGCUCUCUGGGUGACGAGCGGCGGACGGGUGAGUAAUGUCUGGGAAACUGCCUGAUGGAGGGGGAUAACUACUGGAAACGGUAGCUAAUACCGCAUAACGUCUACGGACCAAAGUGGGGGACCUUCGGGCCUCACGCCAUCAGAUGUGCCCAGAUGGGAUUAGCUAGUAGGUGGGGUAAUGGCUCACCUAGGCGACGAUCCCUAGCUGGUCUGAGAGGAUGACCAGCCACACUGGAACUGAGACACGGUCCAGACUCCUACGGGAGGCAGCAGUGGGGAAUAUUGCACAAUGGGCGCAAGCCUGAUGCAGCCAUGCCGCGUGUGUGAAGAAGGCCUUAGGGUUGUAAAGCACUUUCAGCGAGGAGGAAGGGCAGUGUGUUAAUAGCACAUUGCAUUGACGUUACUCGCAGAAGAAGCACCGGCUAACUCCGUGCCAGCAGCCGCGGUAAUACGGAGGGUGCAAGCGUUAAUCGGAAUUACUGGGCGUAAAGCGCACGCAGGCGGUUUGUUAAGUCAGAUGUGAAAUCCCCGCGCUUAACGUGGGAACUGCAUUUGAAACUGGCAAGCUAGAGUCUUGUAGAGGGGGGUAGAAUUCCAGGUGUAGCGGUGAAAUGCGUAGAGAUCUGGAGGAAUACCGGUGGCGAAGGCGGCCCCCUGGACAAAGACUGACGCUCAGGUGCGAAAGCGUGGGAGCAAACAGGAUUAGAUACCCUGGUAGUCCACGCUGUAAACGAUGUCGAUUUGGAGGUUGUGCCCUUGAGGCGUGGCUUCCGGAGCUAACGCGUUAAAUCGACCGCCUGGGGAGUACGGCCGCAAGGUUAAAACUCAAAUGAAUUGACGGGGGGCCCGCACAAGCGGUGGAGCAUGUGGUUUAAUUCGAUGCAACGCGAAGAACCUUACCUACUCUUGACAUCCAGAGAAUUCGCUAGAGAUAGCUUAGUGCCUUCGGGAACUCUGAGACAGGUGCUGCAUGGCUGUCGUCAGCUCGUGUUGUGAAAUGUUGGGUUAAGUCCCGCAACGAGCGCAACCCUUAUCCUUUGUUGCCAGCGAUUCGGUCGGGAACUCAAAGGAGACUGCCGGUGAUAAACCGGAGGAAGGUGGGGAUGACGUCAAGUCAUCAUGGCCCUUACGAGUAGGGCUACACACGUGCUACAAUGGCGUAUACAAAGAGAAGCGAACUCGCGAGAGCAAGCGGACCUCAUAAAGUACGUCGUAGUCCGGAUUGGAGUCUGCAACUCGACUCCAUGAAGUCGGAAUCGCUAGUAAUCGUAGAUCAGAAUGCUACGGUGAAUACGUUCCCGGGCCUUGUACACACCGCCCGUCACACCAUGGGAGUGGGUUGCAAAAGAAGUAGGUAGCUUAACCUUCGGGAGGGCGCUUACCACUUUGUGAUUCAUGACUGGGGUGAAGUCGUAACAAGGUAACCGUAGGGGAACCUGCGGUUGGAUCACCU